rnacentral:rRNA from 1 species
CGCCCGUCGCUCCUACCGAUUGGGUGUGCUGGUGAAGUGUUCGGAUUGGCGACCGGGGGCGGUUUCCGCCCUCGGCCGCCGAGAAGUUCAUUAAACCCUCCCACCUAGAGGAAGUACAAGUCGUAACAAGGUUUCC